AAGUCGUAACAAGGUUUCCGUAGGUGAACCUGCGGAAGGAUCAUUAACACGUAUCCAACGUUAAACAACCCUGUGAACUUUCAACCCCGCCGGAAUGAGAUUAAUUUCCAACUCCGGCGAAGACAAGUGACCUGGCACCUGACCUCAUCAAAGCUCUGACAGCGUGCCUCUGGAUGCUUAAUGGAAGGGUGACGCAGUAACGAUCGCUGGAGGCCCACACGGCCGGCGACCGGGUCAGCGGCAUUCUUUAAUGCCCCUUAAAACCACUUAACAUGACGACAGUUCCUCUUUAACUUGAGUUGAGCUAUAACAAAAAACUAAUACAACUGUUAACAAUGGAUAUCUUGGUUCUC
rnacentral:misc_RNA from 1 species